rnacentral:rRNA from 1 species
CGCGAAUUCGCCCUUCGGGGUGCAGCAGGCGCGAAACCUCUGCAAUAGGCGAAAGCCUGACAGGGUUACUCUGAGUGAUUCCCGCUAAGGGGAUCUUUUGGCACCUCUAAAAAUGGUGCAGAAUAAGGGGUGGGCAAGCCUGGUGUCAGCCGCCGCGGUAAUACCAGCACCCCGAGUGGUCGGGACGAUUAUUGGGCCUAAAGCAUCCGUAGCCGGCCACGCAAGUCCUCCGUUAAAUCCACCCGCUCAACGGUUGGGCUGCGGAGGAUACUACGUGGCUAGGAGGCGGGAGAGGCAAGCGGUACUCAAUGGGUAGGGGUAAAAUCCUUUGAUCCAUUGAAGACCACCAGUGGCGAAGGCGGCUUGCCAGAACGCGCUCGACGGUGAGGGAUGAAAGCUGGGGGAGCAAACCGGAUUAGAUACCCGGGUAGUCCCAGCUGUAAACGAUGCAAACCGGUGAUGGGAUGGCCUCGAGCCAUCCCAGUGCCGCAGGGAAGCCGUUAAGUCUGCCGCCUGGGGAGUACGGUCGCAAGACUGAAACUUAAAGGAAUUGGCGGGGAGCAC